rnacentral:rRNA from 1 species
UACUAGAGUAGCACUCGCAUAUCAAUAAGCGGAGGAAAAGAAACUAACAAGGAUUCCCCUAGUAACGGCGAGUGAAGCGGGAAGAGCUCAAAUUUGAAAUCUUAAAGGGUUUCCCUUUACGAAUUGUAGUUUAAAGAAGUGUUUUCUGUUGAGGUUUUGGUAAAAGUUCUUUGGAAUAGGACAUCAUAGAGGGUGAGAAUCCCGUAUUUGACCUUUACUUUCAACUUUGUGAUACACUUUCAAAGAGUCGGAUUGUUUGGGAAUGCAGUCCAAAAUGGGUGGUAAAUUUCAUCUAAAGCUAAAUAUUGGCGAGAGACCGAUAGCGAACAAGUACCGUGAGGGAAAGAUGAAAAGAACUUUGAAAAGAGAGUUAAACAGUACGUGAAAUUGUCAAAAGGGAAGCGUUUGACACCAGUGUUGUUUUUCUGAAAAUCAAUUAAAGAACUGUUUAUGCUAAGUUGUUUAGACUUUAUCAGCUAUCUGCUUAGUCUUGAGCUUUUCUUUAAUGCACUUUUCAGUUAACAAGUCAACAUCAAUUUCUUUUGCUGUAAAAAAGCUUGAGGAAGGUGGCUUGAGAUUCGUCUUAAGUGUUUAUAGCCUCUUGCCUAUGCAGUCGGAGAGAUUGAGGUCUGCAGCGUAGAUCCUUCGGGGCUAAAUGCAUUUGUGCUAAGUUAUAGCAUUUUAUAGACAACUUGUUGACUAUGAUUUGUCUUGUAGCUUACUCGCUUAUGUUAUUUUACCUACGCUUAGGAUGUUGAACUCUAUCACACACAG